rnacentral:rRNA from 1 species
GUCGAACGAUGAUGGAGAGCUUGCUCUUUGGAUUAGUGGCGAACGGGUGAGUAACACGUGAGCAAUCUGCCCUUGACUCUGGGAUAAGCGUUGGAAACGACGUCUAAUACCGGAUACGACCUGGGAAGGCAUCUUCCUGGGUGGAAAGAAUUUUGGUCAGGGAUGAGCUCGCGGCCUAUCAGCUAGUUGGUGAGGUAAUGGCUCACCAAGGCGACGACGGGUAGCCGGCCUGAGAGGGUGACCGGCCACACUGGGACUGAGACACGGCCCAGACUCCUACGGGAGGCAGCAGUGGGGAAUAUUGCACAAUGGGCGAAAGCCUGAUGCAGCAACGCCGCGUGAGGGACGACGGCCUUCGGGUUGUAAACCUCUUUUAGUAGGGAAGAAGCGAGGUGUUUAUUCACUUCAUGACGGUACCUGCAGAAAAAGCACCGGCUAACUACGUGCCAGCAGCCGCGGUAAUACGUAGGGUGCAAGCGUUGUCCGGAAUUAUUGGGCGUAAAGAGCUCGUAGGCGGUUUGUCGCGUCUGCUGUGAAAACCCGAGGCUCAACCUCGGGCCUGCAGUGGGUACGGGCAGACUAGAGUGCGGUAGGGGAGAUUGGAAUUCCUGGUGUAGCGGUGGAAUGCGCAGAUAUCAGGAGGAACACCAAUGGCGAAGGCAGAUCUCUGGGCCGU